UUGCGUUAUACGCGUUAUAACAUUAUUGGAAGAAGAGGAAAUGAAGUUUCCAUCGACGCGAGCGAGAGCGACAAAAUUGCCACGCGAUCUCUACGCUUUACGAAUGCUGAAAACUUUCGUUCGAAAGGAAUUUACCAUCGAAUCUCGACAAUUUACGGUAACAAGAUUAUGAUCGAAUCAUUCGUGAGACGAUAGGUACGGGAAUUCAAUACGAGUAGAGAAACUGUCUGUGAUCGUAAACGUGGUGGCCGGCCGUCUCUCGUUACAGAGGAUCUCAAGAAACGCGUCUGCAAUUCGAGACAGCAAACCGAAAUAUUCGAGUAAAUAAUGAAACGAGCAUUAUGAAUAAACAAUGCCAUUAAAUGCCUAAAAUGUAGAACCUGUUAUCGAUAUCCUUGCUAUGGUGCCGCUAUUUAUGCAACGAUGGUCAAGUGUCUGAAGAUGAAUAAGGACGCGAACUUAUAGCACGCAAAUAUACCUAAAAACGAUCUUCUCAAUUUUUUAACACGUUAACUGCUACGCGUGUUUUCACUGAAAUCUCCGUCAGGCCACGUACAGAAUAUCUUUCCAAAUACCUACAACGAUCCUUCGCAAGUAGUCAAAUAAGCACCACCCGUAUUCGGAGCAGGAGAAAUACUGGAAAGAAGGGGGAGAAAAAAGAUGCAGGCUAUGUAAAAGGAAAGAAGAAGACCCAAGACACGUAAUAGAAGAAUGCGAAAUAACAGGAGGACCAAAGGACACAGAAAAAAUACUAAACGAGACUGGAGAAGGACUAACAGAACUAAAAACAAUAAUUGAGAAGAGAAGGGCAAUACAAGACGGGGAGGAACGACAAUAAGGAAGCA